UAGCGUCGCCUGGCUCGCGCGCGCUUCUGGAGCUCUCGUGAGAGCCAAGCUGAGCCAAGCUGAGCUGAGCUGAGCUGAGCUGAGCUGAGCCGAACCGAGUCGAGCCGAGCUCUUCGGUUAGUCGCGAGUCGCCAACUCGUUGUACGGUCGCGUCAAACUUAGCCGGGGAUUCCGUGUCGUCCCUGAAGACGUUAUCCCGACGUAGUGCUACCCAAGAACUACACUUAGACGUUGUUGUUGUUGUUUCAUUCGAGGAAAGUGCUGCAGGGAGAAGAGCUACCAAAAAGAAGAAGAAGAAGAAGAAGAAGACAAAGACGAAGAAGAAGAAACAGUGUCUGGGACGAUGCGCGCGAGAACUGGAGGAAGGUCCGGUGUUCUAUCGUCGAAGGUCGUCCUCGAAGUGAUAAGGAUAUACGUGGAGGAAACUUGUCAGUUGCAGCUAGUUUGCCCGCUGCGAAGGACCGACUGAGUCUGCACCAUCGACGGGGAAUAGGGUGAAUUCGCUGAUUAAGGAACCCAUUAGUUACGGAAGAACGGAAGAAAGAAAGCUGAGGUGGUCGCAUAACGGACCUGCAAGACUUUAUAAUGUAGGAAGAGAGUUUGCCUACGGUAGAUGUUUUAUGUGGUGUUGAACGUUCUUCUCCACCUAGACACUGUGCGCGCGAGUUUUGAGCGACGGCUACAGCAGAUGCCCCGAUUCGUACAAUAAUUAUUACACUUUACUAUUAUACUUAUCCAGUAAAGGACUACCUAUUCACGGAAGGGAUUCGUGGCCAAACAAUAACCACGCUCGGUUUAGCUGCUUACACCGUUGCUCUAUCGAUUGAAUUCCGGCGCGCCAAAAAAGAGAGGAUGUUAAACUGAUGAUGAUGACGAGGAUCGAGGAUUAGUGAGGUGGUGGCUCGUUAAUCGACGGUUAUCGUCACACCACCACAACAUGUGGGAUCCUCUGAUUACCGGUGUGCUCUGAUAAUAAAAAAAAAAAUAAAGAAAUAAAACAGAAGAUGAGAGCAAACCCUGCUUUCGAUUAAUCAGCGAUAAAGUGGUGCUUAUGGUGUGAAAACCCAACUGCCGAUAUAUACAGUCCUUUGACAUUAUUCACUUUCGUUUCUAGUAUUUAUGUUUUUUCAAAACACGAGCUGCUUUUCUAACUUCUAAUCAAUUUGCCUCGGUUGAAUUGAUCGAAGCUCCGUAUAAAGCAAUUGCACAGGAGCAAUAUACAAAGACACACUGCCCUAAUAAGAUUUUUUAUCAAUAAUAAUAACGAUAAUAAUACCAGUAAUAUUAAUAAUAAAAAGUUUAAAUCACAACGCUGCAGAGAGAUUAUUCCGCAAAACCGUGAGAGAUGUAGUUCGUCGUGAUAGCUACGCGGAAAUGCCCGUUUAUGAGGAUUGCCUGGGUUUUGAGGUGUCACUGAUCAUCGGUGGCGUCAUUACCACCUCGACGCGCUGUGAUUUUGUUCUGGAUACAAUAUACACCCUAAUGGAUAGAAGCUAAUGCUCGUCCUGGAGUCAGACUUACACGUAGCGUAAGGUACAGGAACGCCUAUACUGCAUACGUACACGUAAUAGGCUUGCGGAAUUGUUGUUCGUGCGGUAUGUUCUGCUGAACAACGGUGGUGCGACCCACGUGUGUGUUUCAACGAUCCUCUCCGAUAUGUCUGGGGCAACGUCAACGUCGUACACGUCGCCGGGCUCUUCGUCCGGGAAAUUUUCGGGCCGGCUUCUGCAGUCCAGCGACCAGGUCUGGUAAUUCCCGACCGGCUAAGUUAAGGGUGAAACGGGCCGUGAGGGUGAAGGAGGUUCGAGGAUCGCGAUGGCAUCGGUCGCCGCCUGGUUGCCGUUCGCUCGAGCAGCGGCCAUAGGAUGGGUGCCGAUCGCUACGCACCCCUUACCGCCUCCGCCGAUACCGAAAGACCGGCGAAAAGCAGACGACGAAAAGCUCCUGAUAAAUGUGAGCGGCCGACGGUUCGAGACCUGGCGUAACACCCUAGAGAAAUAUCCUGACACCCUGCUCGGUUCUAACGAGCGGGAGUUCUUCUACGACGAGGACACCAAGGAGUACUUCUUCGACCGUGAUCCGGACAUAUUCCGGCAUAUAUUGAACUACUACAGGACCGGCAAGCUCCAUUAUCCCAAGCACGAGUGUCUCACAAGCUAUGACGAGGAGUUGGCGUUCUUUGGUAUCCUGCCGGACGUUAUCGGCGAUUGUUGCUACGAGGAUUACAGGGACCGUAAAAGAGAGAACGCCGAACGACUGAUGGACGAUAAACUGAGCGAGAACGGUGACCAAAAUCUUCAACAGUUGACGAACCUACGGCAAAAAAUGUGGCGGGCUUUUGAAAAUCCGCAUACAUCAACGGCUGCGCUUGUGUUUUACUAUGUGACGGGAUUCUUCAUAGCCGUCAGCGUGAUGGCGAACGUUGUUGAGACCGUACCUUGCGGACACAGACCCGGGCGUGCCGGUACCUUGCCCUGUGGUGAACGGUACAAGAUAGUUUUCUUCUGCUUGGACACUGCUUGCGUAAUGAUAUUCACCGCCGAGUAUCUUUUGAGGCUUUUCGCGGCACCGGAUCGGUGCAAAUUCGUUAGGUCCGUGAUGUCGAUAAUCGACGUUGUCGCUAUACUGCCGUACUACAUUGGACUCGGUAUAACCGACAACGAUGACGUCUCAGGGGCGUUCGUUACCCUCCGUGUCUUCAGGGUGUUCAGAAUCUUCAAGUUCUCCCGUCACUCCCAGGGGCUACGGAUCCUGGGCUACACUCUUAAAUCCUGUGCCUCUGAACUCGGGUUUUUGGUGUUCUCGUUGGCUAUGGCCAUCAUCAUAUUCGCUACCGUUAUGUUCUACGCCGAGAAAAAUGUCGAGGGUACAAACUUCACAUCGAUUCCAGCCGCCUUCUGGUACACCAUUGUCACCAUGACGACCCUAGGGUACGGUGACAUGGUACCGGAAACGAUCGCUGGAAAAAUCGUCGGAGGCGUGUGUUCUCUCAGCGGAGUUUUGGUCAUAGCCUUGCCAGUGCCGGUUAUCGUCAGCAACUUCAGUCGCAUUUAUCACCAGAAUCAGCGUGCUGACAAGAGAAAAGCGCAGAGGAAAGCUAGAUUGGCCAGGAUUCGCAUCGCCAAAGCCUCCAGCGGAGCGGCAUUUGUCAGCAAGAAGAAAGCCGCCGAGGCUCGCCUCGCCGCCCAGGAAAGCGGACUCGAUCUUGAAGACAACUACAGGGAGGAGGACAUCUUCGAACUACAGCAUCAUCAUCUGUUACGCUGCCUGGAAAAAACUACGGAUCGCGAGUUCGUGGAGAUGGAGGUGCCAUUCAACGGAGCCCCGAAGAGGCCCGGAUCUCCGUCCCCGCUGACGUCGCCAGCUCACAGCACGGCGUCACGUGGAGGGCUGCUGCGUUCCUGCUGCGGCAGGUGUUACCCUCAGCGAUAUCAGGAUCGACGCGUGUCACCCGAGGAUGGAAGGAAGGAACGUCGCGUAAGUAAAUGUCGACACGCGAUCUGCAACAGAUGAUCACGAUGUGUGUACUCACAGUGUCAUGUUGUUCUUGUGAAAAAGCCACCUUCCCAGUAAGCCAUACGUGUUGCAUAUCGUACGUUGUACUCAAUGCGAGGCAAAGUAAUAAUAAUAAAUUAUAAAGUAGCGCUAGUAUCCAAGUAUCAUUCCUCAUUCUCGGUGUGCAGACAAACAUUAAAGUGUAUACAAUGACCAGAAACCUUCAGGCACUGUCUUUGGUCCAACUGUUGCUGUACACUCCACUGUAUACGUCUGUGUUCACAGUUCCUUUACGUACAUCGACAGCGAUCUAAUAUUUAUCAUAUUACUUCUAUAAUUACUAAAAUCGACCGAGGGCUUAGCGCACCCUCGAGAUACCCAGGUGAGAUAAGAAACUGUAUCUAUCUUAACGGGCAGUUAUCGAAGACCUAAGCAUUAACCCAAAAUUAGCACGUCGUUCCUGGUGAUAAUUUAUAUUGGGACACAUUAUACACCCUAAAUUCCGUAGGAUAUUCGAUAACUGUUGAAUUGGAUCAUCCGCGUUAUUUGCGCAACAACACUUCGCCAGUCAAAAUUUACACGUGACAUUAUCUACACACUGUUUAUUCCCCGGGAUUGUUUCACGGCAAUCCUUACAGGAUUACUCUAACCCGUUUUGCAAUCCUUCGAGUCCACUCUGUGACCCGGAAUUCUGGGCAUUGAAAUCCUCUCUUCAAACUUGUGCCCAUCCUACCGCACCACUGAUUUCUAUCGAGUUAUAGGCGGCUCCCUCCCGGGGGCUUAUUUAAAGUAGGCCAUCGCCUCUAUCUUCGAAUCGUACAACUUCGGGUCACCAGUGAUAAAAAGUGACUGGCAACGCGUUCUGCGCCCGGUGAUGUAAGCUGAUACGUGUGGUCGUCACAGGGGUGACCAAGGAUCGGGAAAGCUAAACGAUUUGUUUACGGGUGAGUUCAGGUAAACUCGCAGACUGGCCUUUCUAUGUUUGUCUAGUUUCCCGUCCUCAGCAGUCAAACUUUACCGUCACCUGUGACCUCGUCACAAUGGAGGCGCAACCACUCGGAAUGUAGAAAAUUAACACCGCUGGUUGUGAGUAAUAUCGUGCAGAACGCUAAAACGUUCGGUCCGGUGCACAAUGCUCGUUGUGGAGCCGGAUUUAUCGUUGACCGUACCUCGAAGUUUCACGUCAUCGUCCAUCGGCACGGUGCUUCAGGCUCAAUCAGAGUCUCUUCUGUGUUAACUUCUCUGUGCUUUGGCGUAACUCAAAAGCCAAUUUUGGCGGUUAAAUAGGUAGAAGGAAUGCAGUUCUUUGACUCUGUUCAAGCGACCUAUACGUUCUAACGUUAUUUUUCUCCUACAAAUUCACAGGGUGAAGUCUGAUCUGACAUGCCGGUUCCGUCAUUCGACAAAGCGUAUGGGUUCCGUUAUUUCAGAAACGUGAGGACGACGCGCCAAUUACACAGUCAAGAACGGAGAGACAUCUUCAUCGGGUCCGACGUUAAUUGCCAUCUGUGCGAUGGACAAAGAGACUCGGCGAGAAAAACGAGGAGUAUCUCUUUAGACGUGGAUGCGAAUGAAAUCGAUAUAGCAGGAGGGAUAAUGGGAUCACCGGUCAUUCUUUACCGUCAGAUGAGACAGUCCCAUAUAAUCCUCUCCUUUCAGCUAUUGUCGUUGUGAUGUCAUUGGUGAUGCGUUACUAUCGCCAUUCGAUGGUCGUCAGAACGGAAUGGACUUGAAACGUUUCCACGAUAAAGACGGAUCUGCGGGGAAUUUGCGAAUUGUCAUAUUAAUUGUAGUUGACUUAGUGCAUUCCGGACACUAUAAUACCAACGAAUAAAAGAUGAGAUCCGCCUCGUGGUCUUUUUUACCUUUGCAUCCGUCGAUAAGGACCGGGUGGACAUAAAGUCUGCUGCUCGGUUCGCCAUGGGUCCUUUCAGUCCCAAUUGAAUUAAGUAGGAAAUCAUAUCUCGCCAUCCUCCCUCCCGAACAACGUGCGCACGGUACUUCAACGCGCGGCCAUCAAAUUCUGUUUCCUAACCUAGGUAAUAAUACUGGAGCCCCGUGAAGGGGAUAAAGAAGUAUCAACUUCUUUCACUUCUUCGAACAUUCCACCCCACUUUCAUCAUUUACCACUGUCUGAGCUCCUCACGACAGAAAGAUUAUGUAGUGUAGGUCUAGGCGUAUCAUUUAGGCGCAGCGAGUUUUUUGGGGGGUGGAAAUCGGGCCGAGUUAUAGUGGAUCGAGGAGAAUGAUUACCGGGAAGAAACGGUGAAAGUUAGUAGAUUGAACGUCAGACUGCGCAUGCGCGAGCUUUAUCGGAUUUUCAUGCAGGCUGGCCACCUCAAGCUUCUGCUGUCACAAUUGACUUACGAAGAUUGUGUGCAGGGUGAUUCGAACUUUUUGCUCGGUUAAGUAGAUCUCUCAUGCUUCAUGUAGCUAUUCCGAAAGUCUUGGGAAACUUUUAUUGUUAACCGAAUUACGGCUGAUGGCCAAGUACGAGUCACUAGAACAACAUAAUUUCAAGUCACCACUUAACGCGGGAGAGUUUCACAUUUCGUACCACUUUUUGAGUAAGUUGGCACUCCUGCCUUGCACACUCGGUAAAAACAUUGCCGCGAUACGAUCUUACCCGCAAAUAGAUCUAAUCAUUUUUCGUAUGCACGGUCAGUCACUCAACCCGCUAUGUUUCACCGUAUGUACAGUAGAGAGCGAAUGACGAGUCGAGAGUGAGAGACAGAGAGAGAGAGAGAGAGAGAGAGAGAGAGAGAGAGAGAGAGAGAGAGAGAGAGAGAGAGAGAGAGAGAGUGUGCGAAAGGGCGAGGAAGGUAGUGUGCGAAUGGGGGGAUGAACGUGGUGGGAAAUAUGGAAUGCGAGAGAAAGAGGAGAACCGACGAAGCUCUAGCGGCCGACAAUGUAGCGUGUGCUUUGGGUGUGGAUUUCAGCAGGCGUACAGUCAGUACAUCCCGGCGACUAGGGCCCAGGUUUCGGGCGGCCCAGGCGGCGGGCAGACGGGGGUCGCCAUGGACGGCACGUAUCUGGUCGAGGCCUCGUUUUGAACGAGGAGAGCGCUUCUCGUAGACACGUCUUCCUCGUAAAUCCCACCGCCUAAGAGAAAAGAAAAGAAUGACGAAAAGACGGAAAGAUUUGAAAACAAAAAAAAAAAAAAAAAUAAUAACAAAUGAAAAGAAAUAAACUACAGGAACACGUACAAACAUUAUACGUUUUAAGAAACAUCAUGCACUCACAGAUCAACGAAUACACCCGAGUCACACAUUAUACACGCACACACGUACGCACAUUCGAAUAAAACAAAAAAAAAAAAUAACGACACCAAAAAAUCAUGCAUACAUACAUACAUAUACAUGUAUACGUAUAACGAAAAAUAAAAAUGAAGAUACGAUUAAAAAUUUCAUUAAAUAAGGAAAACCGAGAGACCGGAUGUGCGGAGACACGCAGACGUUGCAUAACGUAAUAAAUUUAGAACAUUGCAACGAGACAACAAAAAAAAAAACAAACAAACAAACACACAACAUUCAAACGAACGACAAACUCUGAAUGCUCGAUACAGAUGACAAAUUUCAAAGAUACACGCAAAAAAAAAAAAAAAAAACAAGUAACGAAAAGAAAAAAAGAAUUCAAAUGGCAAACCACCGCACCUCACCUCACUCAAUCAAUUCUUCUAUUUCCCUAUUUCUCUGCCACCCGCGUUCGACGACGCCGUUGGACUCGACAACGCCCCGUUUCUUCUUCUCUUCUUCGACGACGACAACAACGACAACAACAACAACAACAACAACAACAACAACAACAACAACAACGGAUGGGAAAUUCCGCGUGCACUUGAUCUCGUGUGCGUGAACGUCGUAUGAACAACUGUCCAACCUGCCCCGCAAUGGCUUCUCCCUCCCAACGACAACGACGAUGGACGUACGCGAUUUUUAUCCGGUGUGAUACACGUACAAAACGAUAAAAAAAAAAAAAAAAACAACAA
rnacentral:misc_RNA from 1 species